AGCGGCGGACGGGUGAGUAACGCGUGGGUAACCUGCCUCAUACAGGGGGAUAACAGUUGGAAACGGCUGCUAAUACCGCAUAAGCGCACAGUACCGCAUGGUACGGUGUGAAAAACUCCGGUGGUAUGAGAUGGACCCGCGUCUGAUUAGGUAGUUGGUGGGGUAGCGGCCUACCAAGCCGACGAUCAGUAGCCGACCUGAGAGGGUGACCGGCCACAUUGGGACUGAGACACGGCCCAA
rnacentral:rRNA from 1 species